AGGAAACAAAUCAGCAUCCGGAUAAAGGUAAUAUAGCCUCCUUGCAGCUUUACCAAUUUCCAGUGGCCUCUUCAGAGAAGGGCCCUGUAAAAGACAAAUUGCUUUGGUAAAUAAUGUUGAACAAUCUAACUGAGAGAUGAGUUGGUGGACAAAAAUCAAAUUAAAUUGGAAAGAUGGAACCAGGAGGACAUGAAAUAAAAUUAUAUCAUGUCUGAGAUGUAGAGAUCCAGUUGAAACAACAUUAGCUUUAUAUCCAUUUGGAAGAGUGACAAGGAAGGGCUUAGGUAAAGGUUUUACAUCAAAGAGUAAGUGUUUAUGUGGGGUCAUGUGAUUAGUUGCACCUGUAUCUAAUAUCCAAGGAUUUACUUUUAACUGUGAUGAAGUACAUGCAUGAGAUUCCACAGAAUUUAGUGCAUAACUACUAAACAAACGUGCAAAAUGUGAAAAGGCAUUGUUGUUCAUAGUAGAAUCAUCAAGAGUAGCCCCAGAAGAUAAUUGUACUUGCUGAAAUAGAGCUAGGAGAUGUUGGUACUGCUCUUUAGUAAAACCAUGAGCUGAAGACUCAGGAAAUUGUAUAGUUGGAGCAGCAUUUAAAUGUGUAGGAUGAAUGAAAGAAUGUUCAGUUUGAACACAUGAAGCAGACUUCUUAUUCUUUGUGAACUUGAAAUCGGGAGAAAAUCCAUGGAGUUUGUAGCACUUCUCCACAGUGUGCCCAGGUUUCUUACAAUAUUUGCAAGAAACAUUUGAAUUAGACCUUAUGGACUCAAAAUUUUCCCUUUGACUGAAACCUCUGUUCCCAUUUUCUAGACUGUUAGACACUAGGAAUAAGGUUGAAUCACCAGAGAGAUUUGGGACAUGAGAAUGAGCUUCCCUUUGACGCUCAUCAUGUUGCUGAAGGGAAUAAGCCUUGCUUAUUGGAGGAAGAGGAUUCAUCAUCAUGAUAUUACUCUUGACAUUUAAAUAGGAUUCAUUUAGACCAUUUAAGAAUUGAAACAGUUGUUGAUCUUCUAUAAAAUUGGGCAGGGUACCACAAGAGCAUACAGGGCCUACAUAUGAGGAAUGUAGCUCAUCCCAGAGGCUUCUUAUUUUGGUGAAAUAAGAUGCUAUGUCAGAAGACCCAUGAGUGGUAGAAUGAAUUUCCCUUUGUAGUUGAAUAUACUUAGAUCCAUUUGACUGCCCAAAUCUAUCGUCUAUAUCUUUACAGACUUUUUUAGCAGUCUUAAAGCACAUCACUCUAGAAGCAAUCUCUCUAGAUACUCAUUUAGUUAUCCAAGCCUUGACCAUAUCAUUACAUCUUUCUCAAUACGCAUAGUAGGGUGAAUAUGAUGUGGGAUGAAAGACUCUUCCAUUUACUAAACCUAGUUUAUUCUUUGCAGAAAGAGAAGUCACCAUACUACUUCUGCAAAGUACAAACCCAGAGCCAUUGAAUGUCACAGAGACUAAUUGACUGCAAGGAUUAUCAGACGGGUGAAUGUAGAGAGGAUGUGAUGGAUCCAACGAAAAAGGGAAUAAAACCAUUAGAAUUCCGAGGUAUAUCAUUUUCAUUCAAUGUACUACCCAUUUUAUAUCCAAUUGUCCCAGAUUCAUAGUAUUAAAAACAGAGAAAAUUUGAUUGAUAACAAACAGAUGCAAAGCAGAUUUGUAAUCAACAGAGAAUCAAGUAAAACAGAUCCAGACAGGUGAGAAUGUACCAGUCUCGACUAACUUCAAACCCUAGGAAUGACAGUAGUUCCAUGAAAACCAAAUUUUAGGAAAAUCUAGCUCAAUCAAUAGACGACGUUGAAGAAUUCCAAGUUUCCCUGACAAAAGGCAACAACGUUUCUUCGAAAUCACCUCUGACUUUAACCAAAGAUAUGAAACGGGAAAAAUUUCUGGCAAUGGUACAAUCGGAAGAAAGCUCAUGAAGAGAGGAAUCUAAAUUCCUGCUAUAAUACCAUGUUAGCUUGACACAAGAGCAGAUAUGGCAGAAACAACAAGAAAAGAAACCCUAACACUGAGAAGAAGAAGAAGAGAGAACAGAAGGUUCGAGAGCAAAUGAGUCGGUCAGUC
rnacentral:lncRNA from 1 species